UACGAAGGGGGCUAGCGUUACUCGGAUUGACUGGGCGUAAAGGGCGCGUAGGCGGUUUGUACAGUCAGACGUGAAAUUCCUGGGCUCAACCUGGGGCUGCGUUUGAUACGUGCAGACUUGAGUUCGGAAGAGGGUCGUGGAAUUCCCAGUGUAGAGGUGAAAUUCGUAGAUAUUGGGAAGAACACCGGUGGCGAAGGCGGGUCUCUGGGCCGUAACUGACGCUGAGGAGCGAAAGCGUGGGGAGCGAACAGG
rnacentral:rRNA from 1 species